rnacentral:rRNA from 1 species
GCACGCCGAAAGCCCAAGGUUUCCUGCGCAACGCUAAUCGGCGCAGGGUGAGUCGGCUCCUAAGGCGAGGCCGAAAGGCGUAGUCGAUGGACAACAGGUUAAUAUUCCUGUACCUGUUUUAAUUGCGAUGGGGUGACGAAGAAGGCUAGGUCAGCCGGGUGUUGGACGUCCCGGUUUAAGCGUGUAGGGAGUGUGCUUUGGCAAAUCCGGGCACACAAUCCUGAGGCGUGAUGACGAUUUUACCACUUCGGUGGUGAGAGAAGUGAUUGAUGCCAUGCUUCCUGGAAAAACCUCUAAGCUUCAGAUUAUGACAGACCGUACCCCAAACCGACACAGGUGGGCGAGGAGAGAAUCCUAAGGCGCUUGAGAGAACUCGGGUGAAGGAACUCGGCAAAAUAGCACCGUAACUUCGGGAGAAGGUGUGCCCCCGGUAUGUGAAGGCCUUGCGGCCGGAGCAGAAAGGGGUUGCAGUGACCAGGUGGCUGCGACUGUUUACUAAAAACACAGCACUCUGCAAACUCGUAAGAGGACGUAUAGGGUGUGACGCCUGCCCGGUGCCGGAAGGUUAAUUGAUGGGGUUAGCUUCGGCGAAGCUCUUGAUCGAAGCCCCGGUAAACGGCGGCCGUAACUAUAACGGUCCUAAGGUAGCGAAAUUCCUUGUCGGGUAAGUUCCGACCUGCACGAAUGGCGUAACGAUGGCCACACUGUCUCCACCCGAGACUCAGCGAAAUUGAACUCGCUGUUAAGAUGCAGUGUACCCGCGGCUAGACGGAAAGACCCCGUGAACCUUUACUACAGCUUUGCACUGGACUCUGAACAUACUUGUGUAGGAUAGCUGGGAGGCUUUGAAGCGGCGACGCCAGUUGCCGUGGAGCCAACCUUGAAAUACCAGCCUGGUGUGUUUGGGGUUCUAACCCAGGUCCGUUAUCCGGAUCGGGGACAGUGUAUGGUGGGUAGUUUGACUGGGGCGGUCUCCUCCCAAAGAGUAACGGAGGAGCACGAAGGUACCCUCAGCACGGUCGGAAAUCGUGCUACGAGCGCAAAGGUAAAAGGGUGCUUGACUGCGAGACAGACACGUCGAGCAGGUGCGAAAGCAGGUCUUAGUGAUCCGGUGGUUCUGUAUGGAAGGGCCAUCGCUCAACGGAUAAAAGGUACUCCGGGGAUAACAGGCUGAUACCGCCCAAGAGUUCACAUCGACGGCGGUGUUUGGCACCUCGAUGUCGGCUCAUCUCAUCCUGGGGCUGAAGCAGGUCCCAAGGGUAUGGCUGUUCGCCAUUUAAAGAGGUACGCGAGCUGGGUUUAGAACGUCGUGAGACAGUUCGGUCCCUAUCUGCCGUGGGCGUUGGAGAAUUGAGAGGAGCUGCUCCUAGUACGAGAGGACCGGAGUGGACGUACCUCUGGUGUUCCGGUUGUCACGCCAGUGGCAUUGCCGGGUAGCUAUGUACGGACGGGAUAACCGCUGAAAGCAUCUAAGCGGGAAGCCCCCCUCAAGAUGAGUUCUCCCCUGAGCUUUAUGCUCACUGAAGGGCCCUCGUAGACUACGAGGUUGAUAGGCUGGGUGUGGAAGUGCAGUAAUGUAUGAAGCUAACCAGUACUAAUUGCCCGUGCGGCUUGACCAU